CGGAAGAGUCCGUUGAGACAUUAACGAGCGCACGUGGAGUUACUCCUUUGGUAUACUGGACAGUAAGGUAAGUUAUUCACAUAUUUCUUUAUAUAUUUAUUUAGGUUAGGAGUGUGAGAGAUAAAUACUAUUUGUUAAAUGUUUUACCCAUGUAGUGUGGUAACUUAGAGGAGCUUUAUAUGUCAGGGAGUGUGUGGAGCCAAAGACUUUUCACAUGUAAGUCGGUGAAUUUGAAUUUUUUUCCCAACUUAAGCGGAGUCGCUAAUUGUUGCAACAGAGCAAAAACUGACGAGGCUAUUUUGAAAUACAUCACAAAAUAAAGCCACAUUCCCAUGCUCUGAGAUUCUUACACCUCCUCAACAAUACAUAAUUGACAAGGAAUUCCUGUGCAUAUUGACAGUACCGCUGCUAUCUACAUUCUUUUCUGAGCUAGAUGAUGGAGAUCUUUAGAGGCAAAGGUGGAGGGCUGGAAGAAAAAUGAGACACAUCAUGGGGACCAUCUCCAAGGAUGACACAAUACAUACAAGACGAGCAUCCGUCCUGAAGUCCCUGUGUGACUAUGAGACUGCGACAAACUUGUGAAGGGAUAUACGACUCAGACAAAUGUAUUAUUAUAUUUCACAUCAGAGAACACUGAGGCCAUGGAACAAACUGUGAUGGGAGUGUAUGUUCUACAGCAGGAGGGUGUGGAGCCUGGAGAUGACCCAGAGAACAUCGGUGUCCUGAUUGAAGAUGUGGAGAUUCUCACUGGUUUGAGGAGCAUUGCAAUUGCUUGUGCUCUGUUAUUUGGACUGAUAUACUGUCUGAACCUAAGCUACCCACCGGAGCUCAAAUGCACUUUUGAAGUCUAUCAAAAGAUUAUCAUGAAGCUGGAUGGACAGAGGUUUCAGAUUCAGGGAAGCCAUAUAUUUUUCCAUAUUUCUGCAAUGCAAAUUUGUUUACCUUUUAAAGUUCAAAAUUGUAAGUUAUAAAAUGUUCAUAAGGACUAUGUGGUUUGCUCAGUGGACAUUAGACAAAGAUUGUUAGUUCAUAAGUUAAAGUCUCAUACACUUGCACUUUAAACACUGAUUUGUGCAAGAUGGGCAAUUGUUACAAAGGAAAAUGUACCCACAGGUUUUCACAAAUUGUUUGAGUGGAGCAGUUGUUCUCAAACUUAUGUUACAGAGUAUAGCAUGGUGGAAAAGGAUGGAGAGAAUCCCCCACUAAGCUUUUGGGCUGGCAUCACUUUAGAUUUUGUUUUGUAUUUAAUUGCAUGCUUUGGUGUUUUUUUGGUGUUUGAUG
ensembl:lncRNA